AAAAUCCCAGCCCUAGAUGAGGAACCCCAGUCUCCUUCUCACGGAAUUCUUCACAGAUCAUGGAGGUCCUGGGGCUGCUCAUUUGCCUGGUGGCAUCUCUCUGCUGUGUACAGUCCCAGGUGCAGCUGCAGGAGUCAGGACCUGGCCUGGUGAAGCCCUCAGAGACCCUGACCCUCACCUGCACCAUCACAGGAUUCUCUUUAUCCAGCUAUCAUAUGCACUGGAUCCGGCAACCUCCACAAAAGGGUCUGGAAUUGGUUGGUGUAAUAUGGAAUGAUGGAAAAACCGGUUAUAACUCAGCUCUUAAAUCCCGACUCAGCAUCACCAGGGACACCUCCAAGAACAAGGUUACCUUAGCACUGAGCAGCCUGAUAGCUGAGGACACAGCCAUGUAUUACUGUGCAAGAGACACAGUGAGGAGACUUUAG